ensembl:lncRNA
AUUUGUUAUAUAUGAUUUUAUAUAAACACCACGAGUACACAUUUUAUAAAAUCGUUUGCACAUUGAAACAUUUUGGGAAGCGAUUUGUCCGAUGUCCGAACCCAUUUUGAUCACAAAGCGUAUAUUGUGAAUCCAGCGCAGCCAUCUGUCCCUAACUCUGUCCCUAACACUGAACCCCGACGCCUUGAAGGACAAGGAACCCUCCCACCGUGGGGAGGAAGGAACCCUCGAUGGAACACGCUAGGUGCAUCCAAACGUGCAACAGAUGGUGAGAAGGUCACGUUUGUGGAGGAGAUGAAUCCACAGGCCAAAGUCCUGAUGUGUGAGUGUGAAGGAGAUGAAUCCACAGGCCAGCGAUGAGUGGCGGUUGUUGAUCACUGAAAUGUGGACAGAGGAAAACAGCAUAUUGUUCAGUUGACUGUCUAGGUAGUGUCACGUUAUCAAAAGGUUAUUACACCUGUAGUCAAUGAACACGAUGUCCAUGUCAUCUUCAGCAGUGGGCUACUGACCUAAAG